CGCUGAAAUGUAAUAUAUUUAAGAAAUAUUUUAGUGGUAAGUAAGCUAACGUUUAAUUUUAUGGGUGAAACGGAAAGCGGGAGGGGGCCUUAAUGGAUUUGAAAUAACCAGGCUGUGAUCUUUACUUUGAUGAAAAAAUGCAGGAUGUGCCAUUUCAUUUCCCCAUUCCCCCUUUAAACAUUUCGUGAAAAUCGCACGUUUGCUGUCAAAUACAUGAAUUUAAUAUUCAGUGGGGGGAGGGGUGCCGGGGGUUGGAAUCCCUUUUUUUGGACGAUCAAUGCAUGUGAAUGUGGACAAAUAGUGGAAACCCCCUUUUUCCUGGGUUGGGAACCCCUUUCUUAAAAUGACUGGAUCCGCCCCUGAUAGAUUUGAAUUCAACUUAUAAUUAAAUUUAAUAACAAUAUAAA
rnacentral:lncRNA from 1 species